rnacentral:rRNA from 1 species
CUUGGUCAUUUAGAGGAAGUAAAAGUCGUAACAAGGUUUCCGUAGGUGAACCUGCGGAAGGAUCAUUCAUAAUAAGUGUUUUAUGGCACUUUUUAAAUCCAUAUCCACCUUGUGUGCAAUGUCAGUCGAUCUUCUUCAUGGAGAUCGACCAAACAUCAACCUUUAUUUUUUAACUCUUUGUCUGAAAAAUAUUAUGAAUAAACAAUUCAAAAUACAACUUUCAACAACGGAUCUCUUGGCUCUCGCAUCGAUGAAGAACGCAGCGAAAUGCGAUACGUAAUGUGAAUUGCAGAAUUCAGUGAAUCAUCGAAUCUUUGAACGCAUAUUGCGCUCUUUGGUAUUCCGAAGAGCAUGCUUGUUUGAGUAUCAGUAAACACCUCAAAGCUUUUGGAUUUUCUAAUCGAAAAGCUUUGGACUUGAGCAAUCCCAACACCAAUCUUUUUGAGAUCGGUGGCGGGUUGCUUGAAAUGCAGGUGCAGCUGGACAUUCUCCUGAGCUAAAAGCAUAUUCAUUUAGUCCCGUCAAACGGAUUAUUACUUUUGCUGCAGCUAACAUAAAGGGAGUUUGACCGUAUUGGCUGACUGAUGCAGGAUUUCACAAGGGUCGGCAACGAUUCUUGUUAAACUCGAUCUCAAAUCAAGUAAGACUACCCGCUGAACUUAAGCAUAUCAAUAAGCGGAGGA